rnacentral:rRNA from 1 species
ACAUCUAAGUUGGAACAAAGGUUCACCGCUAUAGGAUGGGGAUGCGUCUGAUUAGAUAGUCGGCGGGGUAACGGCCCACCGAGUCGACGAUCAGUAGGGGUUCUGAGAGGAAGGUCCCCCACAUUGGAACUGAGACACGGUCCAAACUCCUACGGGAGGCAGCAGUGAGGAAUAUUGGUCAAUGGGCGAGAGCCUGAACCAGCCAAGUAGCGUGCAGGAUGACGGCCCUAUGGGUUGUAAACUGCUUUUAUACAGGGAUAAAGUGACGUACGUGUACGUUUUUGUAGGUACUGUAUGAAUAAGGACCGGCUAAUUCCGUGCCAGCAGCCGCGGUAAUACGGAAGGUCCGGGCGUUAUCCGGAUUUAUUGGGUUUAAAGGGAGCGCAGGCUGAUUAUUAAGCGUGACGUGAAAUGUAGCCGCUCAACGGCUGAACUGCGUCGCGAACUGGUAGUCUUGAGUGAGUUCGAUGUUGGCGGAAUUCGUGGUGUAGCGGUGAAAUGCUUAGAUAUCACGAAGAACUCCGAUUGCGAAGGCAGCCAACAAGGCCUUUACUGACGCUAAAGCUCGAAGGUGCGGGUA